rnacentral:rRNA from 1 species
GGACGAACGCUGGCGGCGUGGAUUAGGCAUGCAAGUCGCACGAGAAACAUUCCUUCGGGAAUGCAGACAGUGGCGAACUGGUGAGUAACACGUGAACAACCUGCCCUAUCAUUCUGGAUAGCCGGCCGAAAGGCCGGAUAAUACAGGCGAGGAUCACAUCAAGGCAUCUUGAAGUGAAGGAAGGCGCAAGCCGUGCAAGGAGGGGUUCGCGGACUAUCAGGUAGUUGGUGAGGUAACGGCUCACCAAGCCGACGACGGAUAGCUGGUCUGAGAGGAUGAUCAGCCACACUGGGACUGAGACACUGCCCAGACUCCUACGGGAGGCUGCAGUCGAGAAUCUUAGACAAUGUACGAAAGUAUGAUCCAGCGACGCCGCGUGGAGGAUGAAGGAGCUAUGCUUCGUAAACUCCUUUUAUGAGGGAAGAAGAUCUGACGGUACCUCAUGAAUAAGCCACGGCUAACUACGUGCCAGCAGCCGCGGUAAUACGUAGGUGGCAAGCGUUGUCCGGAAUUACUGGGCGUAAAGGGUGCGUAGGCGGAAGUUUAAGUAGAAAGUGAAAGGUUGGAGCUCAACUCCGACACUGCUUCCUAUACUGGACAUCUUGAGUUUCGGAGAGGAAGAUGGAACGACACGUGUAGCGGUGAAAUGCGUUGAUAUGUGUCGGAACACCAAUAGCGAAGGCAAUCUUCUGGACGAACACUGACGCUGAGGCACGGAAGCCAAGGUAGCGAACAGGAUUAGAUACCCUGGUAGUCUUGGCCCUAAACGAUGUUCACUAGGUGUCGGGGAUUUUUCUUCGGUGCCGCAGCUAACGCAUUAAGUGAACCGCCUGGGGACUACGACCGCAAGGUUGAAACUCAAAGGAAUUGGCGGGGGCCCGCACAAGCGGUGGAGCAUGUGGCUUAAUUCGAUGCAACGCGAAGAACCUUACCAGGGUUUGACAUGUAGCUGCAAGCUCCCGAAAAGGAGUCGCUUUCGAAGGUGCUACACAGAUGGUGCAUGGCUGUCGUCAGCUCGUGUUGUGAAAUGUUGGGUUAAGUCCCGCAACGAGCGCAACCCUCAUGUUCUGUUGCCAGCGAGUAAUGUCGGGAACUCGGAACAAACUGCCUCUGUAAAGAGGAGGAAGGUGGGGAUGACGUCAAGUCUUCAUGCCUCUUACACCCUGGGCUGCACACAUGCUACAAUGGCCGGUACAAAGAGCAGCGAAACCGCGAGGUCAAGCAAAUCUCAAAGAGCCGGUCUCAGUUCGGAUUGGAGUCUGCAACUCGACUCCAUGAAGUCGGAAUCGCUAGUAAACGCCGGUCAGCAACACGGCGUUGAAUACGUUCCCGGGCCUUGCACACACCGCCCGUCAAGCCACGAAAGUUGGUCUCUCCCGAAGUCGCCGAGCUAACCGCAAGGAGGCAGGCGCCGAAGGAGCGGUCGAUGAUUGGG